GAGAUAUUGGCACACUUGAAACCUUAUUUGAGAUUCAGUGUUGAAUGUGGAUUCUGCUUGUUCCAUUUAUUUGAUUGUGAUGACUUCCUGAAUUUGUUUACGUUUUGCUUGCGAUCUGUGGUUAUUUAUGGUUUAAAUGGAAAAACUGUACCUCACAGUGUUUUUCGUUUCCAUUCGUUUAGGUUAAGCUAAUUGACAUUGGUGUCCUUAUCAUGGCUUCUGAUGUGUAGAUAUGGCUCAGUUGAAAGAGACUAAAAAUGGGACACGGAGACUGGGAGAUUUUCCAAAUUUCCAAAUCUCCAUCAACUGAUCCCUAUCUGUGUUUCUCGAAGUGACUAGUGAGUGGGUGUCUCUGUCUGUUUGGACAUCUGAUGGGAUUUUACCAGGCAUGCGAAUUACUGUGUGAGAAACUCUACAAUCAUAAAACUGAAGUUUUUGCUCAAAGACUUUUAAGCAUCGGAAGACACUUUCUGAGUUUUGCAAGGUUGGAUUCACGUAUAUCUAGUGCUGGCCAAACUGCUGCUAAGAUAGGAGAGCACCUGUAGG